rnacentral:rRNA from 1 species
AGUGAACGCUGGCGGUAGGCCUAACACAUGCAAGUCGAACGGCAGCACAGUAAGAGCUUGCUCUUACGGGUGGCGAGUGGCGGACGGGUGAGGAAUACAUCGGAAUCUACUUUUUCGUGGGGGAUAACGUAGGGAAACUUACGCUAAUACCGCAUACGACCUACGGGUGAAAGCAGGGGAUCUUCGGACCUUGCGCGAUUGAAUGAGCCGAUGUCGGAUUAGCUAGUUGGCGGGGUAAAGGCCUACCAAGGCGACGAUCCGUAGCUGGUCUGAGAGGAUGAUCAGCCACACUGGAACUGAGACACGGUCCAGACUCCUACGGGAGGCAGCAGUGGGGAAUAUUGGACAAUGGGCGCAAGCCUGAUCCAGCCAUACCGCGUGGGUGAAGAAGGCCUUCGGGUUGUAAAGCCCUUUUGUUGGGAAAGAACAGCAGCAGGUUAAUACCCCGCUGUUCUGACGGUACCCAAAGAAUAAGCACCGGCUAACUUCGUG